rnacentral:rRNA from 1 species
AGAGUUUGAUCCUGGCUCAGGACGAACGCUGGCGGCGUGCCUAAUACAUGCAAGUAGAACGCUGAAGGAGGAGCUUGCUCUUCUGGAUGAGUUGCGAACGGGUGAGUAGCGCGUAGGUAACCUGCCUGGUAGCGGGGGAUAACUAUUGGAAACGAUAGCUAAUACCGCAUAAGAGUAGAUGUUGCAUGACAUUUGCUUAAAAGGUGCAAUUGCAUCACUACCAGAUGGACCUGCGUUGUAUUAGCUAGUUGGUGAGGUAACGGCUCACCAAGGCGACGAUACAUAGCCGACCUGAGAGGGUGAUCGGCCACACUGGGACUGAGACACGGCCCAGACUCCUACGGGAGGCAGCAGAAGGG